rnacentral:rRNA from 1 species
UACGGAGGAUCCAAGCGUUAUCCGGAAUCAUUGGGUUUAAAGGGUCCGUAGGCGGGAUAAUCAGUCAGCGGUGAAAGUCUGUGGCUCAACCAUAGAAUUGCCAUUGAUACUGUUGUUCUUGAAUACUUAUGAAGUGGUUGGAAUAUGUAGUGUAGCGGUGAAAUGCAUAGAUAUUACAUAGAACACCGAUUGCGAAGGCAGAUCACUAAUAAGUCAUUGACGCUGAUGGACGAAAGCGUAGGUAGCGAACAGG